UCUUUAUUUUUUCCUAUAUAUAAACAUAAAUAGGUAAUGAGCACUUUCUACUUGAGCAAUAAAAAGACCCAAUGUAUUACUCCCUGUGUCCAGUGGAGUGGCAUAAAAAUCACAUGGGAAUGAAUUUUGAAACUUCAGUAUUUCUUUGUAAGCACACCUUCAGGCAUGAAGGAACACCUAUAUUUGGAGGCACGUCAGUUAAUUUGUUGCAUAUCAGAUUCAUCAUUGUGACUUCUUGCAGGCCAGAUCUGAGAAGUAACCAGGAACCUGAUCCUUAGUGGAGAAUGGAAGAGCCCUUCAAGUGAGAGCACAACUGGUCACUAAUGUAAUCUGCAUUGAGUCAUCUUUCUCAGAUCUGACAGCUACAAGCUGAGCCCUGGCAAAAGCCACAGCCUUAAAUUCCAUUCAGCGGGAAAGAAGGAUGAGAGAACUAAAUGUCUUGCCCCAUUGCAGAGACUGCUGUCUCCAAGCCUG
rnacentral:lncRNA from 1 species